UACGAAGGGGGCUAGCGUUGCUCGGAAUUACUGGGCGUAAAGCGCACGUAGGCGGUCUUUUAAGUCGGGGGUGAAAUCCUGGAGCUCAACUCCAGAACUGCCUUCGAUACUGGAAGACUUGAGUCCGGGAGAGGUGAGUGGAACUGCGAGUGUAGAGGUGAAAUUCGUAGAUAUUCGCAAGAACACCAGUGGCGAAGGCGACUGACUGGACAAGUAUUGACGCUGAGGUGCGAAAGCGUGGGGAGCAAACAGG
rnacentral:rRNA from 1 species